rnacentral:lncRNA from 1 species
UGAGAAAUGCAGGUAACAUCUCCAGGCACAACUGCUGGGAAAGCAGGCUUCCAUCCCCGCUCAAGGUGGCUUGCUCUGGCCAGUGGCGUAUGGACAAAAGCAGUGGUGUGCCAGUUCUGAGCCUGCACCUCCAGAGGCAGCACGUCCUUCUGCCUGCUUCUCUUGUGCUUCUGCCAUCCCAUUCUUUGGUUCCAGAAGAACGAAAGACACAUGGAACAGAGCCACCCUGGCCGAUCAGCAAAACUAAUUUUUUACUGCUAGGUGUGGCUGCAUGAUCCAGUUCUAGCCAAUGAUACGUAAGUAUUGCAAAGGACUCCUAAGAAAAUUUUUGCUGUCUUGAUAAGAAAAGGAACUUCUGUGACUG